rnacentral:rRNA from 1 species
GAUGAACGCUAGCGGCAGGCCUAAUACAUGCGAGUCGAACGAGAUUAAGGAGCUUGCUCCUUAUGAAAGUGGCGCACGGGUGCGUAACGCGUAUGCAACCUACCUUAAUCAGGGGGAUAGCCCGAAGAAAUUCGGAUUAACACCGCAUAAAAACACAGGAUAGCAUUAUCCAAUGUUCAAAUAUUUAUAGGAUUAAGAUGGGCAUGCGUGUCAUUGGCGAGUUGGCGGGGUAACGGCCCACCAAGGCGACGAUGACUAGGGGAUCUGAGAGGAUGACCCCCCACACUGGUACUGGGACACGGACCAGACUCCUACGGGAGGCAGCAGUAAGGAAUAUUGGUCAAUGGAGGCAACUCUGAACCAGCCAUGCCGCGUGCAGGAAGACUGCCCUAUGGGUUGUAAACUGCUUUUAUCCGGGAAUAAACCUAAUUACGUGUAAUUAGCUGAAUGUACCGGAAGAAUAAGGAUCGGCUAACUCCGUGCCAGCAGCCGCAGUAAGAC